UCAGCAUCCACCUGCCCCCGUCAGCUCAGGAUGAUGGCGAAGUCGACAGCUUGAGUCCUGGAGCCAGACAAGCUCUGUGCACAUUUGCUGCAGGACUUCAGACCACUGAAAUGCUGCUUGACAUUGAAAUGACCCUGGAGAAGAGGGAGGCUUCAGAGGAUGCUAAAACCUCACCCAGUGGAAGAAGUUAAUGACUUGACCAUGAGCACGUAGCCCCCAGACUUACCGGAGCCUGAUGUUAACCCCUGUGAUGUCACCCUGUUACCUCACCAUCAACCAUUCAGAGAAUUGUGCAUAGAUGAUCACAUACCCUGCAACCACCCUCCUUCAGCUGGCCUGUAAACGUGCUUUGGUGAAACCCCAUCAGAGAGUUUGGAUUUUUUGAGCAACAGGUACCCCAAGCUCCUUUUCUGGUGCCCUGUGAUAAACACUGCACUUUCCUUCACCACAAGCCCAUGUCAGUAGACUGGCUUUACUGGGCACUCUGGCAAGUGGAUGCAAUUUGGUUGGGUAACAAUACCACCUACGAACUUCUUUUUGUAUCCUUUUCUUUUAGCCCCCAUCAUAAAAAAAAAAAAAAAAAAAGAAUAGGCAA